GUAGGGAAUCUUCCACAAUGGACGAAAGUCUGAUGGAGCAACGCCGCGUGAGUGAAGAAGGUCUUCGGAUCGUAAAACUCUGUUGUUAGAGAAGAACGUGCAUGAUAGUAACUGAUCAUGUAAUGACGGUAUCUAACCAGAAAGCCACGGCUAACUACGUGCCAGCAGCCGCGGUAAUACGUAGGUGGCAAGCGUUGUCCGGAUUUAUUGGGCGUAAAGGGAACGCAGGCGGUUUUUUAAGGCUGAUGUGAAAGCCUUCGGCUUAACCGAAGAAUAGCAGUGGAAACUGGAAGACUUGAGUGCAGAAGAGGAGAGUGGAAUUCCAUGUGUAGCGGUGAAAUGCGUAGAUAGAUGGAGGAACACCAGUGGCGAAGGCGGCUCACUGGCUCGAUACUGACGCUGAGGUGCGAAAGCGUGGGGAGCAAACAGGAUUAGAAACCCGGGUAGUCC
rnacentral:rRNA from 1 species